CCUACGGGUGGCAGCAGUGAGGAAUAUUGGUCAAUGGCCGGAAGGCUGAACCAGCCAAGCCGCGUGAGGGAGGAAGGCGCAGAGCGUCGCAGACCUCUUUUGCCGGGGGACAAAAGGCCGGACGGGUCCGGUUCUGAGGGUACCCGGAGAAAAAGCAUCGGCUAACUCCGUGCCAGCAGCCGCGGUAAUACGGAGGUGGCAAGCGUUGUCCGGAAUUACUGGGUGUAAAGGGAGCGCAGGCGGGAAGCCAAGUCAGCUGUGAAAACUACGGGCUUAACUUGUAGACUGCAGUUGAAACUGGUUUUCUUGAGUGAAGUAGAGGUUGGCGGAAUUCCGAGUGUAGCGGUGAAAUGCGUAGAUAUUCGGAGGAACACCGGUGGCGAAGGCGGCCAACUGGGCUUUAACUGACGCUGAGGCUCGAAAGUGUGGGGAGCAAACAGGAUUAGAUACCCUAGUAGUC
rnacentral:rRNA from 1 species